CUUCCGGCGCGCGCCUCCCGUGACGUCACUCCGCCCCGCCCGCCGCCGCCUCCCGGCCGGAAGACCCACACACACCACGCCGGCGGGGCGCAGAGGAUAAGGACAAUUUUAGCUAACUGGAGCACCGUGAUCAAACCCAAGAAAUUAGCUCAGCCACGCCUGCCGUUAGCCCAUCUGCAGACCCAAGAAGACUGUGCCAAGUGUCCAGACUGCACCCUCUGCAGCAUGCAGAACCCUACCGGAUUCAGGUCACGGAGUCUGCUCUCCUUACUCUGUGGCUGGCCGGCUCUGGGCUCUGUUAUUCACAUCAGCAGCACUUUGAAGUCUGAAAGCUGGUUAUCCUGUAGAUAGAUCACUCUACUCUGG
rnacentral:lncRNA from 1 species